rnacentral:rRNA from 4 species
UGGCGGCAUGCCUAAUACAUGCAAGUCGAACGAGCUUCCGUUGAAUGACGUGCUUGCACUGAUUUCAACAAUGAAGCGAGUGGCGAACUGGUGAGUAACACGUGGGAAAUCUGCCCAGAAGCAGGGGAUAACACUUGGAAACAGGUGCUAAUACCGUAUAACAACAAAAUCCGCAUGGAUUUUGUUUGAAAGGUGGCUUCGGCUAUCACUUCUGGAUGAUCCCGCGGCGUAUUAGUUAGUUGGUGAGGUAAAGGCCCACCAAGACGAUGAUACGUAGCCGACCUGAGAGGGUAAUCGGCCACAUUGGGACUGAGACACGGCCCAAACUCCUACGGGAGGCAGCAGUAGGGAAUCUUCCACAAUGGACGAAAGUCUGAUGGAGCAAUGCCGCGUGAGUGAAGAAAGGUUUCGGCUC